AGAGUUUGAUCUUUGCUCAGGAUGAACGCCGGCGGUGUGCCUAAUACAUGCAAGUCGAACGCGAAGGCCCCACUGAUUGAAGGUGCUUGCACCUGAGUGACAAUGGAUCGCCAGAGAGUGGAGGACCGGUGAGUAACCCUGACGUAACCUGGCGGAUAGCGGGGGAUAACAUGUGCAAACACAUGCUAAUCCCACAUGGCCACAAGGGCCGGAGGGAUUUUGUCUGGAAGAUGGAUAUGGAUCUCCCUCCGAGAUGGACGUGCGGGGCGUUAGCGACCUGGAAAGGUAACAGCUUACCACGGCCAUGAAGGGUAGACGAGUUCAUAGACAGAUAGGCCACGAUGGAACUGAUACACGAUCCAUACUCCUACGGGAGGCAACAGUAGGGAAUCUUCCACUAUGGGCGCAAGCAUGUUGGACCAUCGCGGAGUGCGUGAUGAAGGGUUUCGGCUUGUAAAGAUAUGUUUUUCGAGUAUGAAAGUGUGUGUGAGCAGCUGUUCAAGCAAUGACGGUAUCCAACCAGAAAGUCCCGGCUAACUACGUGCCAGCAGCCGCGGUAAUACGUAGGUGGCAAGCGUUAUCCGGAUUUAUUGGGUGUAAAGCGAGCGCAGGCGGUUACUUAGGUCUGAUGUGAAAGCCUUGGGCUCAACCCCCGAAGUGCUUUGGAAACCGGGUAACUUGAGUGCAGAAGAGGUCAGUGGAAUUCCUUGUGUAGCGGUGAAAUGCGUAGAUAUUUGGAAGAACACCAGUGGCGAAGGCGGCUGUCUGGUCUGCAACUGACGUUGAGGCUCGAAAGCAUGGGUAGCAAACAGAAUUAGAUACCCUGGUAGUCCACGCCGUAAAC
rnacentral:rRNA from 1 species